UACGAAGGGGGCUAGCGUUGCUCGGAAUUACUGGGCGUAAAGCGCACGUAGGCGGUCUUUUAAGUCGGUGGUGAAAUCCUGGAGCUCAACUCCAGAACUGCCUCCGAUACUGAGAGUCUCCGAGUCCGGGAGAGGUGAGUGGAACUCCGAGUGUAGAGGUGAAAUUCGUAGAUAUUCGGAAGAACACCAGUGGCGAAGGCGGCUCACUGGCCCGGUACUGACGCUGAGGUGCGAAAGCGUGGGGAGCAAACAGG
rnacentral:rRNA from 1 species